UGUUUUCUAUGGAGUGUCGGAGGUCGAGAGAGGACCUGACAGGAGUAUAUCACAUUAUGAGAUGCAUGGAUAGGGUAGACAACCGGAACCUGCUUCUUCAGGGUGGAAAUCUCAAGGACUGAAGGGCAACAGAAGAAUGCUAUUGAACCAGAUUUAUAUUUUGACUCGUUACAUGCCAGAGUCACUGAUACAUUGGGAAGUGUGGAGGAAACCGGAGCACCCGGACAUCCAUGCGAUCACAGGGAGAACAUACGAACUCCACAUGGACAGCACCCGAGGUCGGGAUCGAACCGGGGUCUCUGGCGCUGGAGGUAGCGGCUCUACCAGCUGUGCCACCUGUUGCUACCAGCUGCUGCAACUGUGCUGUCAUUUUAUCACCGUGCUUUGACCCAAUAAAGAUUUACGAUGGA